GCCCGCUUGGCUUAGUGGUAAAGCGUAUCACUAGUAGGCAUCCACUGGAUAUCUAUGCGAUAUGAUAAGAUCGUCAGUUCGAUUCUGACAGUGGGCA
rfam:Gaeumannomyces graminis var. tritici R3-111a-1 unplaced genomic scaffold supercont2.3, whole genome shotgun sequence.